rnacentral:tRNA from 1 species
GAGAUGUUAGUAAAUCAAUUACACAGUCUUGUCAAGACUGAAUCACAGGUACAAAACCCCUGUACGCCUCA